GUCUACGGCCAUGUCACCCUGAACAAGCCUGAUCUUGUCUGAUCUCAGAAGCUAAGCAAGGUUGGGCCUGGUUAGUACUUGGAUGGAAGACCACCUAGGAAUACUGGGUGCUGUAGGCA
rnacentral:rRNA from 1 species